rnacentral:tRNA from 1 species
UCAAUGGUGGUUCAGUGGUAGAAUUCUCACCUUCCAUGCAGGAGUCCCUGGUUCAAUUCCUGGCCAAUGCA